GACCAGACUCCUACGGGAGGCAGCAGUGGGGAAUAUUGCACAAUGGGGGAAACCCUGAUGCAGCGACGCCGCGUGAGCGAUGAAGUAUUUCGGUAUGUAAAGCUCUAUCAGCAGGGAAGAAAAUGACGGUACCUGACUAAGAAGCCCCGGCUAACUACGUGCCAGCAGCCGCGGUAAUACGUAGGGGGCAAGCGUUAUCCGGAUUUACUGGGUGUAAAGGGAGCGUAGACGGCAAUGCAAGCCAGAUGUGAAAGCCCGGGGCUCAACCCCGGGACUGCAUUUGGAACUGUGUAGCUGGAGUGUCGGAGAGGCAGGCGGAAUUCCUAGUGUAGCGGUGAAAUGCGUAGAUAUCAGGAGGAACACCGGUGGCGAAGGCGGCCUGCUGGACUGCGACUGACGUUGAGGCCCGAAAGCGUGGGGAGCAAACAGGAUUAGAUACCCCUGUA
rnacentral:rRNA from 1 species